AGUGAACGCUGGCGGUAGACCUAACACAUGCAAGUCGAACGGCAGCACAGUAAGAGCUUGCUCUUACGGGUGGCGAGUGGCGGACGAGUGAGGAAUACAUCGGAAUCUACUUUUUCGUGGGGGAUAACGUAGGGAAACUUACUCUAAUACCGCAUACGACCUACGGGUGAAAGCAGUGGAUCUUCUGACCUUGCGCGAUUGAAUGAGCCGAUGUCGGAUUAGCUAGUUGGCGGGUUAAAGGCCCACCAAGUCGACGAUCCGUAGCUGGUCUGAGAGGAUGAUAAGCCACACUGGAACUGAGACACGGUCCAGACUCCUACGGGAGGCAGCAGUGGGGAAUAUUGGACAAAGGGCGCAAGCCUGAUACAGCCAUACCGCGUGGGAGAAGAAGGCCUUCGGGUUGUAAAGCCCUUUUGUUGGGAAAGAAAAGCAGCAGGUUAAUACCACGCUGUUCUGACGGUACCCAAAGAAUAAGCACCGGCUAACUUCGUG
rnacentral:rRNA from 1 species